CAGCAAUCCGUCUCGAAGCUCCCAGAGUAAUGACAGGCAGUGGAGUUUAAACACCAUUUAUAGUGCGGCCAGCCGAGCAUCAUCGGUAUUUUCCGGAAAACAGAAAACAGAGGUCAGAAGGCCGACUGAUAAGUCGCCCUCGAUUGACAUCUGCCAUUCAUCUGGUGCCUAGCCCCAAUCACCCGCGACUCACAAUUGGAUUAAGCUCAUUUGAUAACUAACGGGUGGAUGGACAGAAAAUACCUCCCAUAGAUGGAAAGCCCACACAAACAUGAUGAGAAUAUAGAAGUCCCACGCAAGUCUUGCUCGAGUCUUAGAUUCGGUCCCAGGACUCUAGAAUUAAAUGAUAUA